rnacentral:miRNA from 1 species
AAUACAGAAUGUCCAGCUAAAUUUGAAUUUCAGAAAAACCAUGAAUAAUCUUUUAGUAUAAGUAUGUCCCAUGCAGUAUUUGGGACAUACUUACACUAAAAAAAAAAUUGUUAUUUAUCUGAAAUUCAAAUAUAACUGGGUGUUCUAUAUUU